rnacentral:rRNA from 1 species
UAGGGAAUCUUCGGCAAUGGACGAAAGUCUGCCCGAGCAACGCCGCGUGAGUGAAGAAGGAUUUCGGAUCGUAAAACUCUGUUGUUAGAGAAGAACAAGGACGUUAGUAACUGAACGUCCCCUGACGGUAUCUAACCAGAAAGCCACGGCUAACUACGUGCCAGCAGCCGCGGUAAUACGUAGGUGGCAAGCGUUGUCCGGAUUUAUUGGGCGUAAAGCGAGCGCAGGCGGUUUCUUAAGGCUGAUGUGAAAGCCCCCGGCUCAACCGGGGAGGGUCAUUGGAAACUGGGAGAGUUGAGUGCAGAAGAGGAGAGUGGAAUUCCAUGUGUAGCGGUGAAAUGCGUAGAUAGGAGGAGGAACACCAGUGAAGACGGCGGCUCGCUGGUCUGUAGCUGACGCUGAGGCUCGAAAGCGUGGGGAGCAAACAGG